rnacentral:rRNA from 1 species
UACGAGGGGGGCGAGCGUUGUUCGGAAUUAUUGGGCGUAAAGGGUGCGUAGGCGGUUUGGUAAGUCUGAUGUGAAAUCUAUGGGCUCAACUCAUAGCCUGCAUCGGAAACUGCCGGGCUUGAGUGUGGGAGAGGUGAGUGGAAUUCCUGGUGUAGCGGUGAAAUGCGUAGAUAUCAGGAGGAACACCUGUGGCGAAAGCGGCUCACUGGACCAUAACUGACGCUGAUGCACGAAAGCUAGGGGAGCAAACAGG